rnacentral:rRNA from 1 species
AUGAACGCUGGCGGCGUGCCUAAUACAUGCAAGUCGCGCGAACAGACGAGGAGCUUGCUCCUCUGACGUUAGCGGCGGACGGGUGAGUAACACGUGGAUAACCUACCUAUAAGACUGGGAUAACUUCGGGAAACCGGAGCUAAUACCGGAUAAUAUAUUGAACCGCAUGGUUCAAUAGUGAAAGACGGUUUUGCUGUCACUUAUAGAUGGAUCCGCGCCGCAUUAGCUAGUUGGUAAGGUAACGGCUUACCAAGGCAACGAUGCGUAGCCGACCUGAGAGGGUGAUCGGCCACACUGGAACUGAGACACGGUCCAGACUCCUACGGGAGGCAGCAGUAGGGAAUCUUCCGCAAUGGGCGAAAGCCUGACGGAGCAACGCCGCGUGAGUGAUGAAGGUCUUCGGAUCGUAAAACUCUGUUAUUAGGGAAGAACAAAUGUGUAAGUAACUAUGCACGUCUUGACGGUACCUAAGCAGAAAGCCACGGCUAACUACGU